UACGUAGGGUGCGAGCGUUAAUCGGAAUUACUGGGCGUAAAGCGUGCGCAGGCGGUUUCGUAAGCUGGAGGUGAAAUCCCCGGGCUUAACCUGGGAAUGGCCUUCAGGACUGCGAGGCUAGAGUGCGGCAGAGGGAGGUGGAAUUCCACGUGUAGCAGUGAAAUGCGUAGAGAUGUGGAGGAACACCGAUGGCGAAGGCAGCCUCCUGGGCCAGCACUGACGCUCAUGCACGAAAGCGUGGGGAGCAAAC
rnacentral:rRNA from 2 species